rnacentral:rRNA from 1 species
GUAGGGAAUCUUCGGCAAUGGACGGAAGUCUGACCGAGCAACGCCGCGUGAGUGAAGAAGGUUUUCGGAUCGUAAAGCUCUGUUGUAAGAGAAGAACGAGUGUGAGAGUGGAAAGUUCACACUGUGACGGUAUCUUACCAGAAAGGGACGGCUAACUACGUGCCAGCAGCCGCGGUAAUACGUAGGUCCCGAGCGUUGUCCGGAUUUAUUGGGCGUAAAGCGAGCGCAGGCGGUUAGAUAAGUCUGAAGUUAAAGGCUGUGGCUUAACCAUAGUACGCUUUGGAAACUGUUUAACUUGAGUGCAAGAGGGGAGAGUGGAAUUCCAUGUGUAGCGGUGAAAUGCGUAGAUAUAUGGAGGAACACCGGUGGCGAAAGCGGCUCUCUGGCUUGUAACUGACGCUGAGGCUCGAAAGCGUGGGGAGCAAACAGGAUUAGAUACCCGAGUAGUCC